UCAUAUUCAUAGAUCUUUAUCAAUAUCAAUCAAUUUUGGAUUUUAGAUCGGUUCCAAUUGUUUUGGUUAUCUUACGAUCAAAAUCGGGUUUUGACAACCAUGUUGCAGUACAGGUACGUUUACUUGCCGAUCGACUGAUCCAUGAACCUUCUCUUCUGUUUCUCUCUUUUUGCACACCUCUGUCUCUGAAACCAUGUUUACUCUUCUUCUUCAAUCCAUCAUUCCACACGAUUCUAUAUGGCCAAAUUGAUCUCACCCUCUGUGUCGAAACCCAAAACUCAACUGUCGCUUUGUAUGGGUUUUUGGUGUUAUUUGUGCAUCUGGUGGGUCGUUUCUCGCGUGCAGGAAUCUACCUUUGUUGAUCUGUCUUUGUCAUCAAAGCCUCAUUGCGAGUCUAUGCGUCUUUGUUGGUCGAGUUUUGAGCUCCUAACGUGUUAUUGGGGCUACUUCAUCCUAUUUUGUUGUUUGUCAGUCUAUUUUGUUGUUGUGCGUUCUCAUCUCUCUUGGAUAGCUAUUACAGUCCCUUUCCGAUAUUAGUUUUUCAUGCUAUGAUGAUGAAACAGGCCAAUUUGAUUUGAAUUUUGAUAUCGUUUGCGUCUUUAAUCUGUUACAGCACAUCAAUUUUAGCCGGAAAUUUAUAUACUUUUCGAAUGAAUGUGAACCCUUUGUGAUUUUUAUAGUGAUUUUUAUAAUACCUAUGCGUGGUUGAGAUAUGAGUUGCAAUUAGAAAUUUGAUAUAAGCUUUUAUGUGUUUUCCAACGGAAUUUACUUUGCCUUUGGUCUGCCUUUAAGUCUAUCUGAUUUGAUUCUCAACACAUGUACACUUUUCGAGAUGAAAAAAAUGAGAAGACCUACAAGAUAUUUCACAACCAUUACACUCAUGGUAUUCCAUUCAAGCAAGAGGUCAGGUUUCGUAGAGGAGCCAAGUCAGAUUUUGCUGAAGUAGCGACGUGGAGGGCUGAAAUUCGAUGCCAAAGAUUGAACUCCAUGCUCACCUUAAUGGUUCAAUCAGGGACUCCACACUGAUAGAGAUUUGGGUGAAAAAGAUGUCAUUGUAUUCGCAGAUGUGGAGCAUGUUAUCCUGAAAAGUUUCCAAGUCAAAGUCCCAAUGUCCUUCCUGUGCCUGCAAGAUUUUGGUGAGUCAUGUCCUUUCUUCUUUCGUUUUUGAUGUGGAAUAUCUGUCAUUGUUUUGGUCAACUCAGUUUCAGUUGCAAGGAUUUUUGUAGAACAUACACUGAUCAAUUGGACUUCAUCUAAUUUUUUCAGAAAACAUGGGGAUUAGAUGAGUGCUAUCUCAUAUACAAGUGCUGAAGUGCCUUCUCAGGUUUCCAAUUACCUGCCCAAAUGAUCAAAUGGGUAACAGGCUAGGUUGGCAUGCAGGAAGAAGCAAGUAGAUUAAAUGGAUCAUCUCCAAAACGCCUAUUAACCUUAAAAUCUCACCAAAUGUAGUCUUCUGAAUGGGAAACAACAACUUUCGAAGUGCAUAAAGAUGUGAGAUUAGCUCUUAUUCACAUUGGCUUUGUUCUUUGUAACGAGGGUGCUGCUUAAGCUAUUCGAUGGAGAUUUGAUGGAGAACACGAAGCAUGAGCCGUGGCACUUGGAAACCAUCAGAAUUUGAGUUUUCUUGCUUGAAUUUCUUUUCUUCUGAGCUAAAAUGGGGGUUUUGCAAGCCAUUGUUCAUUCAUGAGAACCAUGGAAAUGUGCCGUAGAUUUCAUCCACUGCGAAGUUUCUCAAAGACAGAAGCUGUGGAAAAAAAGUUGUGUUAUACCCGACAUCCUUGCUUUCUGACCAUCAAUUAAAAGUUUCUGCUGCUGGCAACACACCGACUGCUGGGAUUGCUGUGAGGC